UUUAAAUAAAGAUAUUAUUAUUAUUAUUAUUAUUAUUGAGUUAGUAUUUACAUACAAUACCAUUUAUACAAUUAUUUUUCUUAAAGGUUUAUUAAUUUCACCGAAAAAUAUUGUUAGAUAUGAGAAAUAUCAACAUUUUUUGUUGAUCUGGUCUUUAUUAUUUGUAGCGAAAUCCGUCAGCUCAACUUUUUUUGUAGAAAAACUUUUUUUAUUUACUGUAAAGUUUAUAUUUUCUUAUAUUAGCAUAUUUAUUGAUCUCGCAGAUUUCUUAGUUUCACGAAGAAAAAAAAUAUUUAAAAACAAAAGAGAUAUUUAUAACACUUUUUGUCGAUCAUUUCAGUAUAAUCAAAGCGUACAUCGGCGAAUGUGAAAUCCAUCCGGUCAACUUUUUUUUUAGAAAAACAUUUUGUUUUACUAUGAAGUUUAAAUUUUCAUAUAAGAUAACUAUUAAUCUCGCAGAUUUUCUAGUUGUAUGAAAAAAUAUUGUAAAACAAAAGAGAUAUUACUAGUAACACUUUUUGUCGAUCAGUUCAAUAUUGUAAAGCGUACAUCAGUGAGUGUAAAAUCCGUCCGGUCAACUUUUUUUUGUUAAAUAUUCAUAAAAUAUAGUCUAAUAUUUCUUAGGUCUUCAAAAAUUAAAAAAUCUAUCAAAUAACAAAAAAGUUCUGACUAUUUAUAUCUCAUCCGGUCAAUACGGGCAAUUGUCCUGUCAUUAGUGUAACCCAACUGUUGGCAGCGUAUCGUCGCGAUGCGGUAUGUGGGAAUAUACUGGCAAAAAUAACAAUAUACCAAGAGUAACAGCAUGUAAGCGUACAGCUUCCGGAAUUUCUAGUUUUCUGUCCAACAGAGGGAUGUAAAUAAGAACAAUGAGUUUCUAUGUUCCUUUGGUGUCAAACGCCUCUCUCUCUCUCUCUCUCUCUCUCUCUCUCUCUCUCUCUCUCUCUCUCUCUCUCUCUCUCUCUCUCUCUCUCUCUGUUUCUUUUUUUUUGGGGAAAGGGGGUAUAGGGGCACAAACACAUGAACACGAGUGAUUCGUAGAGUAAUCAUAUUUGUUGAAAUAUCAAACAUUAUAUAAGAAUAACGCCAGUUAAACAUCACUGUAAAAGAAGCAUACAUAAUUUUAUAUCGGUUGCUGUCUGUCGAAAUCAAAGAAAUUUAGCACAGUAUUAUAUAGUACAUUAUACUCAAUCUUCCUUUAAUGCUUUGUACAGGCUUACAUAAUUUGGGCACAAAAAAAAAUCAUAUUUUGUAGUAUUUCUUCAAACUGUCAAUUAUAGCGAAAUGUACGAAAAGGAAGUUAAAAAAUAAGGCCGCUAGACGUCAGAGCAAUCUGGGAAUAUCAAACACUAUGCCUAGUUAUUUUUGUUCUAUUGAUGACCGUACUGCCUACAACAACAACAAAAAAUCCACACUGUAUAUUUGGCUUUACAAGACUCCAACAAGAGAAAUAUUUAACACACACACAUGUAUUUAUGUAGAGUAACAUGUCUUUCAGAGUGCUAAUCUGUAACCAUCACAUUAAGGUCCGUCUUGUGAAAGAGUAUUCAUCUCAUAUAGAAAAAAAUUUUGUGCUGAUAUUCAUGUAAUAUUUGCCACUGAAACUUUUGCAAAAAUCAAGAAAAAAACAAAAACAAAAACAAAACAAAAACUAGUAGUUCAGAUGUAGGUUCGUGUUCAGAUCACUCAAUGUGAUCACUUUCAUGUCAACAAACAGUGAUAUAGGGAGAUUGUCAAAUUCCGAUCAUGACUGUAAAGGACAGAGUACAAAGGUAGCUGAUUUACUCUUGAUACCUUGGUUCUUUAAAAAAAAAAACGGCCAACAUGAUAUAACAGAGUGCUGAAAGUGGCACACACAAUCAAUCAGUUAUUUUCAAAUUACCUAUCAUUAAUCAGUUUUGGCAAAAAAAAGUAUAUAGGCUAUACCAUACUGAAACAUAAAUGUGAUAAAAGAAUAUACAAUUCAAGAAAGAGAGGUGCACCAACAGAAAAUAGAAACUGCAAUCUUUCUUUUAAUUUCAUCGGAUCUCAGAUCUCAAAAUUUUAACUUUUACCAGAAUUUAUUCUAUCUUACAGUAUAACUCGAAAGUUUCUAAAGGGAACUCGAGCUUUUAACUAGAACUCUUACUCGAAUUAACAUUCGAACUAAAAAUAAAACUGGAACUUUAACUCUAUAUUUAGCUGGAACUCGAACUCUUAUUCUACAUCAAAGGUUAUCCACACUCUCAUUUGUCAUCUGAUAAAAAAAUUCGUAAGGGUUCCACGGAACCUAGUGUCUCGCCUACUUUUGCUGUUAAUCGCAGCCUCAACAAAAAUGAGGAAAAAAAUCAAUAAAAAUAUUCCUCUCGAUACUAUCUUUUGAUUGUAAGAAGCUUCUGUCCAAGCUUGGUAUAAAUCUAGGAUAGUUUAUGGAUCUAAUAAAUGUUUUAAAAACUUUAACUGCAUACUGUAUGUAAUGUUAACUGGAAGAAAAACUAAGUCCAUUUAUAAGUAAAAUACGGAUAAACAGGUGCAAAAUUUUGACAAAAUUUCCUUCGAGAUACAAGCUUUUGAUCAUAAACAAGCUUCUGUCCAAGUUUGGUACAUAUCCAGGAUAGUUUAAGAAAGUUAUUGAAAUCUUAAAAACUUUAACCACAGAGUAAAUGUAUUGUUUCCUGGCAGAAAAACCAAGUCAAUUUAUAAGUAAAAUACGGAAAAAUAUAUUUUUUUUUUACAAAAUUUACUUCUGGAUACUAUCUUAUGAUCAUAAACAAGCUUCUGACCAAGAUUGGUACAAAUCCAGGAUAGUUUAAGAAAGUUAUUAAAAAUUUAAAAACUCUAACCACAGAGUAAAUGUAUUGUUUCCUGGCAGAAAAACUAAGUUCAUUUAUAAGUCAAAUAUGGAAAAACAGGAAUUUUAUUUUUGCAAAAUUUACUUCUGGAUACUAUCUUAUGAUCAUAAACAAGCUUCUGUCCAAGUUUGGUAGAAAUCCAGGAUAGUUUAAGAAAGUUAUUAAAACUUCAAAAACUUUAACCACAGAGUGAAUAUUUGUGGACGCCGCCGCCGCCGCCGACGGAAUGUAGGAUCGCUAUGUCUCGCCUUUUCGACUUAAGUCGAAGGCUCGACAAAAAACUAGAGUUAGAUAAAAUAUAUCGACAUGUCCACAGAAACACGGAUAGAUGUAGCAGAACAAGAAAAAAAACUAGAUCCGUUUAUUACAAAUUAAAAGAUUUUUUUAAUUACAUAUCAACUGGGAACAUUAUAUGUUCCUGAUAUCAAUAUGGCGAUGUGUAUUUUAUUGUCAAUUAACUCUAAAUUAUCAGAUGCAUUGUAUUUCUCAUAACAUACCAACGUUGAGCGAUUAAUCGAACGGUAAUAGAAUAUACGUAAUACAUAAAGUUUUAAUGCACAGGCGAUGAACAUUGAACAUAUUAUGUACAAUGAACAUGAAACGAUGUAUGAAAAAUGAGUGCGGGAUGAUAGAACUCAGAAAAAAAUUUGGUUUCCACAGUUCGAAUAAAUUAUGAAGCGUUGUGUAAUUACGGAACCAAUUUUAAAUUCCUACCGAAAAUAGGUUUCUUCUAACGUGCUGAGUUUGUGGCAUUUUUAACACGGCAUUUCAGGUUUUAUCUUCCCGGUGCGAAUGGACAAGCUAGUGAAAUUAUGGUAACGAAAUUAUUCUGCCUGCAGUCUAAAAGGAACGUGUUACUUUUCAACCCAGAUACCCUCAGUCUUCCGAGGUAGAAGAUUCUUUAUCUGGAAGCCGAAAAUUAUUUCUAUAAUACGGCAUGAGGCAAACAUUCGUUUUCCCCAUACAACAAAUGCAAUUAAAAAAAUGAGAUGACUUCAACUUUGACAAUUACUUUAUAAUAAACUGUUAUUGUAUCUAUGUUUAACGAUUCGAUAGAUUGAUAAAGAUAUCAACGAAUAAUCAAAAUACCUUAAAAAAUGUUCAAAAAUGAUAUUAUAUUUUGUAGUGAAAAGGUUUAAUUCAACCCAAGCGUUGCAAGAAAUGCUGUUAUACCAGCAACGUCGUUCUAUAACGUUAAAAGUUUAUAGUUCCCGCCAAAAUUCAAUAAUAAAGAUUAUUACCAUUUUAGCGGAUUUAAAACAUCGGUGACCCCCCUUUUUUAUUUAUGCUUUUAAAAUCUUCCCUGAAGCUGCAACUUUUGCAGAAGUUUGAAGGGAAAAACAUUAGUAGAUUUUUUUUAUUUCAAGAAAAAUCUAUUAUAAAUAGCAAUUAAAAAUGGCGGGAAAUGUUCAAAUGCCUUCAAAAAUAAGGAAACCGAGACAAAUAAAUGUUCAUAAGGUACAAGUUACAUUUGACUGUUUUUGUUAUUCCAGUUAAACAUGUUUUUUCAAUAAGUUUGUUUUUUUUAACAAUUUAGAGCGGUAUUUCUAUAUUUCGUUAUAACACGAUUCUUUAAGUUUUGAUGACGUCAUAUCUCGAAAACAACAUCGGUGACCCCAAUUUUUUUUUCGCCUAAAAUAUCUUUAUAAGUAUGAUCUGUCUACAUGCAAAAUUUCAAUGAAUUAUUAUUAGUAGUAUAAAUGGUGUGAUUUCCCUUUAAAGCAAUUUUUACCCUUUUUACCCUUCAUUUCUAAAAAUAUUUUAAAGUCUUCUUUGAAAAUUGGAGUUAUCUUUCUUUGUGCAUAAUGGUAGUUGAAUCAACUACAACCAAUGCUUUAUACAAUGCAAUAUUCAAUUUUACUUCCUAAUGAUAAAUUAAGCAAUCUUUACCAUUCAGUGCUUACAAGCACUUUGAUUACCGUUCAAGGUUUAUGCCCCUUUACAAAUGAAAAAAAUGCAGAAUUUUUCGUUUCCCUUCUCUAACUUUAGUUUGUCUUAACUAAAUGUAAUUUCUAAAAAUAUUAAUGUCAUUUUUCAAGUAAUUUCUAAAAUUGGAGUUAUCUUCCUUUGUCCAUGAUUAUAGUUGAAUCAACUACAAUCAAUGCUUUAUACAAUGAAAUGUUUAAUUUUGCCUCCCACUGAUAAAACACAGAUCAAGUUGAAUUUGGGUAGUGUCACUUUAACCAUUAUUGAGUUAUGCCCCUUUAUAAAUGGAAAGAUUGCAAAAUUUUUAGUUUCCAUUCUGUAACUUAAGUUUGCCCCAACCAAACAUUAUGAAACCUAUACACAAUAUUCAUUACCUCAAAACUAAGAUAAUGUACAAUUUUUUUGUUUCCGUUCUCUAACUUUAGUUUGCCUUAAACCAAAUGUUAUGAAACUUAUACACAAUGCUUAUUACUAGAUAAUACAGAUUAAGUACGAAAUUUGGUGGCGUCACUUUUUACCAUUCUUGAGUUAUGUCUUUUUAUAAACAUAAAAACUACUGAAUUUUUCGUUUCCGUUCUCUAACUUUAGUUUGUCUCAACCAAAUGUUAUAAAAGUUCUACACAACCGUUCUUGAGUUAUGCAUGUUUACAAAUAGAAAAAUUGCUGAAUUUUUAUACGACCGCAAAAAAUUAUUUGUUGUCGUAUAUUGGUAUGACGUUGGAGUCGUCGUCGUUGUCGUCGUCCGAAGACACAUUAGUUUUCGCACUCUAACUUUAGUUUAAGUGAAUGGAUCUCAAUGAAAUUUUACCAUAAGGUUCAAUACCACAAAAGGAAGGUGGGGAUUGAUAUUGGGGGUUAUGGUACCCACAGUUAAGGAAAAAGGGGCCAAAAAUAAGCAUUUUUGUAACUUCCUGACAUAGCUUGUGUGUAAGUGUAUGGAUCUCUCUGACAUUGUACCACAAGGUUCCAUAUCACAAAGGAAAUGCUAAGAUUGAUUUUGCGGGUAAUUGCCUCCAAAUUUUAGGAAUUAGGGGCCAAAAAGGGGCAAAAAACAAGCAUUUUUCUAGUUUCAUGACAAUAACUUGUGUGUAAGUGUAUGGAUCUCUCUGACAUUGUAUCACAAGGUUCCAUAUCACAAAGAGAAUGCUUAGAUUGAUUUUGGUGGUAAUUGCCUCCAAAUUUUAGGAAUUAGGGGCCAAAAAGGGGCAAAAAACAAGCGUUUUUCUAGUUUCAUGACAAUAACUUGUGUGUAAGUGUAUGAAUCUUUAUGAAAUUGUACUACAAGGUUCCAUAUUACAAAGGGAAAGCUGGAAUUGAGUUUGGGGGUAAUUGGCCAAAACGUUUAGGAAUAAGGGGCCAAAAAUAAGCAUUUUUCUAGUUUCCAGACAAUAACUUGUGUUCAAAUGUAUGGAUCUCUCCGAAAUUAUACUGCAAGGUACCAUACCACAAAGGGAAGGCUGGGAUUGAUUUUGGGGGUAAUUCCCUCAAAAUUUUAGUAAUUAGGGGCCAUAAAAGGGAAAAAAAACAAGCAUUUUUCUAGUUUCAGGACAAUAACUUGUGUGUAAGUGUAUGGAUCUUUAAGAAAUUGUACUGCAAGGUUCCAUAUCACAAAGGGAAAGCUGGGUUUGAGUUUGGGGGUAAUUGCCCUAAAAGUUUAGGAAUUUGGGGCCAAAAGGGGGCCAAAAAAUAAGCAUUUUUCUAGUUUCCAGACAAUAACUUGUGUUCAAGUGUAUGGAUCUCUCCGAAAUUAUACUGCAAGGUACCAUACCACAAAGGGAAGGCUGGUAUUGAUUUUGGGGGUAAUUCCCUCAAAAUUUUAGUAAUUAGGGGCCAUAAAAGGGAAAAAAUCAAGCAUUUUUCUAGUUUCAGGACAAUAACUUGUGUGUAAGUGUAUGGAUCUUUAAGAAAUUGUACUGCAAGGUUCCAUAUCACAAAGGGAAAGCUGGGUUUGAGUUUGGGGGUAAUUGCCCUAAAAGUUUAGGAAUUUGGGGCCAAAAGGGGGCCAAAAAAUAAGCAUUUUUCUAGUUUCCAGACAAUAACUUGUGUUCAAGUGUAUGGAUCUCUCCGAAAUUAUACUGCAAGGUACCAUACCACAAAGGGAAGGCUGGGAUUGAUUUUGGGGGUAAUUCCCUCAAAAUAUUAGUAAUUAGGGGCCAUAAAAGGGGCAAAAAACAAGCAUUUUUCUAGUUUCAUGACAAUAACUUGUGUGUAAGUGUAUUGAUCUCUCUGACAUUGUAUCACAAGGUUCCAUAUCACAAAGGGAAUGCUUAGAUUGAUUUUGGUGGUAAUUGCCUCCAAAUUUUAGGAAUUAGGGGCCAAAAAGGGGCCAAAAAUAAGCAUUUUUCUAGUUUCAAGACAAUAACUUGUGUUCAAGUGUAUGGAUCUCUCUGAAAUUGUACUGCAAGGUACCAUACCACAAAGGGAAAGCUGGGAUUGAGUUUGGGGGUGAUGAAUCAUAAGGGGGUUAAAAAAAUUGGGGGGGGGGAUAUUUUUUUCCUUUGUUUUCUUUAAAAUUUUCCAUUUUAAAUUGAGUUCUUAGACCACUUUCAUUCUGUGUGAGAAACCUAUGCUGUGUCAAAUAUUUAAUUACAAUCCAAAUUCAAUGCUGUAUCAAGCUUGAAUGUUGUGUCCAUUCUUGCCCCAACUGUUCAGGGUUCGACCUCUGCGGUCGUAUCAAGCUGCGCCCCAGUGGAGCAUUUUAUUAGUUUCUGUUCUCUACUUAAGUUAUGAGACUUACACACAAUGCUUAUUACCACAAAACUCAGAUCAAGUUCAAAUUUAGGUAGCAUCUCUUUUACUGUUCUUCAGUUAUGUCCCUUUAUAACUAUAUGAAAUGCAAGCGGGAGCAUCAUCUGUGGACACAUGUGGACACAAUCCACAUUUAUUUGUUCAUUUUUAUACGACCGCAAAAAUUAAAAAUUUUUUGGUCGUAUAUUGGUAUGACGUUGGCGUCGUCGUUGUCGUCGUUGUCUGGCGUCGUCCGGCGUCGUCCAAAGACACAUUGGUUUUCGCACUCUAACUUUAGUUUAAAAGAAUUGAUCUCUAUGAAAUUUUACCAUAAGGUUCAAUACCACAAAAGGAAGGUUGGGAUUGAUUUUGGGGGUUAUGGUACCAACAGUUAAGGAAUUAGGGGCCAAAAAUAAGCAUUUUUGUAACUUCCAGACAUAACGUGUGUGUUAGUGUAUGGAUCUCUCUGACAUUGUACCACAAGGUUCCAUAUCACACAGGGAAUGCUGGGAUUGAUUUUGGGGGUAAUUGCCUCAAAAUAUUAGGAAUUAGGGGCCAAAAAAGGGGCAAAAAACAAGCAUUUUUCUAGUUUCAUGACAAUAACUUGUGUGUAAGUGUAUGGAUCUUUCUGAAAUUGUACUACAAGGUUCCAUAUCACAGAGAGAAAGCUGGAAUUGAGUUUGGGGGUAAUUGCCUCAAAAUAUUAGGAAUUAGGGGCCAAAAAAGGGGCCAAAAAUAAGCAUUUGUCUAGUUCCCAGACAAUAACUUGUGUGUUAGUGUAUGGAUCUCUCUGACAUUGUACCACAAGGUUCCAUAUCACACAGGGAAUGCUGGGAUUGAUUUUGGGGGUAAUUGCCUCAAAAUAUUAGGAAUUAGGGGCCAAAAAAGGGGCAAAAAACAAGCAUUUUUCUAGUUUCAUGACAAUAACUUGUGUGUAAGUGUUUGGAUAUUUCUGAAAUUGUACUACAAGGUUUCAUAUCACAAAGGGAAGGUUGGGAUUGAUUUUGGGGGUUAUGGUACCAACAGUUAAGGAAUUAGGGGCCAAAAAGGGGCCAAAAAUAAGCAUUUUUGUAACUUUCAGACAAUAACUUGUGUGUAAGUGUAUGGAUCUCUCUGACAUUGUACCACAAGGUUCCAUAUCACAAAGGGAAGGCUGUAAUUGAUUUUGGGGGUAAUUGCCUCAAAAUGUUAGGAAUUAGGGGCCAAAAAAGGGGCAAAAAACAAGCAUUUUUCUAGUUUCAUGACAAUAACUUGUGUGUAAGUGUUUGGAUAUUUCUGAAAUUGUACUACAAGGUUCCAUAUCACAAAGGGAAAGCUGGAAUUGAGUUUGGGGGUAAUUGCCCGAAACGUUUAGGAAUUGGGGGCCAAAAAGGGGCCAAAAAUAAGCAUUUUUCUAGUUUCCAGACAAUAACUUGUGUUCAAGUGUAUGGAUCUCUCUGAAAUUGUACUGCAAGGUACCAUACCACAAAGGGAAGGCUGAGAUUGAGUUUGGGGGUGAUGAAUCAUAAGUGGGUUCAAAAAAUUUUGGGGGGGGAUUUUUUUUUUCUUUUUUUUUUCUUUUUUUCCUUUUUUUUUUCUUUUAAAAUUUUCCAUUUUAAGUUGGUUAUUUCUGAUUUAUAUUUAAAAGCAAAUAAUAAUGAUAUGGUAGGAGAUACACACCAAACAGGAUGUGUAAAUUAUUAUAUAAUAAGUAUUGUGCAAUAGCAAGAAAUUUUCAAUUGCACAGUAUUGCACAAUAGCAAGAAAUCUUCAAUUGCACAGUAUUGCGCAAUAGCAAGAAAUCUUCAAUUGCACAGUAUUGCGCAAUAGCAAGAAAUAUCCAAUAGCACAAUAUUGCGCAAUAGCAAGAAAUUGUCAAUUGUACAGUAUUGCGCAAUAGCAAGAAAUAAUCAAUUGCACAGUAUUGUGCAAAAGAAGAUACUUCGUAUAAAUUGCUUAUUUCUUGAUCAAUUUCAAUGGGGUUUUAUUCUUGAAUUCUUGGGGUUCUUUAAUAUGCUGAAUCUAACCGUGUAUUAAGUUUUUGGAUUUUGGGCCCCGUUUUUAAAUUGGUCCACAUUGAGGUCCAAAGGGUCCAAAAUUUAACUUUGUUUGAUUUCAUCAAAAAUUGAAUUAUUGGGGUUCUUUGAUAUGCCGAAUCUAACCGUGUAUUUAGAUUCUUAAUUUUUGGUUCUGUUUUCAAAUUGGUCUACAUAAAGGUCCAAAGGGUCCAAAAUUAAACUUAGUUUGAUUUCAACAAAAAUUGAAUAUAUGGGGUUCUUUGAUAUGCUGAAUCUAACCAUGUAUUUAGAUUUUUGAUUAUGGGCCCAGUUUUCAAGUUGGUCCAAAUCGGGGUCCAAAAUUAAACUUUGUUUGAUUUCAACAAAAAUUGAAUAUAUGGGGUUCUUUGAUAUGCUGAAUCUAACCAUGUAUUUAGAUUUUUGAUUGUUGGGCCCCGUUAUCAACUUUGUCCACAUUGAGAUCAAAAGGGUCCAAAAUUAAACUUUGUUUGAUUUCAUCCAAAAUUGAAUAUAUGGGGUUCUUUGAUAUGCUGAAUCUAACCAUGUAUUUAGAUUUUUGAUUAUGGGCCCAGUUUUCAAGUUGGUUCAAGUCGGGGUCCAAAAUUAAACUUUGUUUGAUUUCAACAAAAAUUGAAUAUAUGGGGUUCUGUAAUAUGCUGAAUCUAACCGUGUAUUAAGUUUUUGGAUUUUGGGCCCCGUUUUUAAAUUGGUCCACAUUGAAGUCCAAAGGGUCCAAAAUUUAACUUUGUUUGAUUUCAUCAAAAAUUGAAUUAUUGGGGUUCUUUGAUAUGCCGAAUCUAACCGUGUAUUUAGAUUCUUAAUUUUUGGUUCCGUUUUCAAAUUGGUCUACAUAAAGGUCCAAAGGGUCCAAAAUUAAACUUAGUUUGAUUUUAACAAAAAUUGAAUUUUUAGGGUUCUUUGAUAUGCUGAAUCUAAACAUGUAUUUAGAUUUUUGAUUAUGGGCCCAGUUUUCAAGUUGGUCCAAAUCGGGGUCCAAAAUUAAACUUUGUUUGAUUUCAACAAAAAUUGAUUUUAUGGGGUUCUUUGAUAUGCUGAAUCUAACCAUGUAUUUAGAUUUUUGAUUUUUGGGCCCCGUUAUCAACUUUGUCCACAUUGAGGUCAAAAGGGUCCAAAAUUAAAGUUUGUUUGAUUUCAUCAAAAAUUGAAUUCUUGGGGUUCUUUGAUAUGCUGAAUCUAACCAUGUAUUUAGAUUUUGGAUAUUGGACCAUAAUAGGUGAAUGUCAAAUUUAAAAUUUUUAAGUUCUUGGAUCACAUUCAUUCUGUGUCAGAAACCUAUGCUGUGUCAAAUAUUUAAUCACAAUCCAAAUUCAGAGCUGUAUCAAGCUUGAAUGUUGUGUCCAUACUUGCCCCAACUGUUCAGGGUUCGACCUCUGCGGUCGUAUCAAGCUGCGCCCUGCGGAGCAUUUUAUUAUUCUUUUCUUUUAAUUGCAUCAUUGCAUUUAUUUAGAGUAGACGUUUACAGGGGCGGAUCCAGGAUUUUGGAAAGGUGGGGCGUAGUAUUAAAGUUCGGACCUUUUUUUGGCAUAAAAACAUAAAAUAAGUGUAAAAUGCAUUUUAUAGUUAAAGUGUAGGGGUUGGACAUUUUUGGUGCGGUAUUCUCUCCAUUAAUUGUCUAUUAUAAAAUGAUUGGAUGGAUCCAAAGCUAUGUACUAAUUAAUAUAUAUGAUGUGGGAUUUGUCAGUAAAAAAUGGACAUGGAAAAUUCUCGUUUGUUGCAUGGUUAGUUAGCAUAACCUCACAGAUUUCUUGUUGUAAACAAGAUAUACGGCUAUUCAAUGAAAUUUACAAUAUGACCAACGCGAAGAAAGACAAAUAAGCAAUUUUCAACCAACAAGGGAAGUGAGGGGUUCCAAAUCAACCAAAGGCUACGAAUUAGUAGGAAAUGAAAAUGAAGUUGUGAAUGACGGUCGACACAUGGAGACAUAUAGGCCACACCCAGCAGGCAGGUUGCAGUCGGGCCUUGAAAAAAGUAUUCAGUAUAUCAGUUCGGCGAAACAUACACUCCGGUCAGAUAUGGGAUUCACAUGCAACCCCCCCAAAAAAAAUUACGCCCGUUUUUUAUUCAUCAUGUUCAUUUAAUGCUAAAUAAUUUUGUUGAAAAUAUUUUUUUCUAAUAGCAAAAAAGUGGACAAGAUUAUUGUUUUCAAUCCAGAUAUGGCCAGAAUUUUGUUUAAGGCAAAAAUCAGGGUCAGAAUUUUUUCUCUAAAAUAUCUCAGACUGCCCCCUCAAAUCAAAUGGUCCGUACCUUAGACUUUAAAUCUAUAUCUAGAGCUUACUGACUGGGGAUCAGUAUUCAGCAAUUUUAUUAAUGGGUUGGGGCGUGUUGGGUUAAACAUGUUUUUGUAGGUAAAUAAUAUUGCUGUGGAACUUUUUUUUUCAUGAGAGUGUAAUAGAGUAUUACUUUCUGUUGGGUGGAAUUGUGAAAUAGAAGUCAAUACGUUCUUGCUCAAUACUUUGUCGCUUUGAAGGUGUCAUGCUUGUCAUCCUCAGCCUAAGCAAUGUGUUACUGUAAUUUGAAUUUCAAAAUGACUGAGUGACGUUUUUUUUUCGAUGUACUGGUCAACUCCACCGUAGCGAAUCACAUGACUCUGCAGGCCUCGACAAUAACGCUUGUCCGAUUGUCCGGUACCAGAGGAAAAAAAGGUCGGACAAGUAAAAGCUAUAUCAAGCUUGUCCGACGGGACAAGUAAAAUUAUUCUGCAGAAAAUAAAUUUAAUCCAACUUUGAUGAACAAAGUAAUUAUAAACAAAAAACAAGAAAAGAAGAUAAAAACAAGUAUUAAUUUGACAUGUUUACUUGCAAACCGAUAACUUUAAACUGGUUCUUUGUCAGGUACUUUUUAAUAGGUAAAAGGCAUACUAUUCUCGGAAACCAGUUUUACUGAUCCGAAUCAGCGAUGCGCUUUGUAGAAAAGGUAACUUUACAAGACAGUUCGUCACCAGCUCGGAAACGAUUCGGCUCCCAUGUUUAAUAGACAGUUUGGCACCGUAGGAGACAUAUUUAAUAGACAUGAUUGAUAGACAGUUUGGCAACGCAGGAGACAUUUCGGGACCAAGACAAAUCAGUACCUCGUUUUCCUACCUUAUUCUGUUGCUUUAUAAUAAAUACCAUACCGGUUAUUUUUUUAACAAAAAUAUUUUUUAAAUAAAAAUGAAGAAAUUAUUUACCAUAAAAUUCACAAAAUCAUAAUUGAUCAUAUGUAGAAAGAAACAAUAAUUGCAAUACGGUGACCUAUAGUUGUUAAUUUCUGUGUCAUUCGGUCUCUUGCAGAGAGUUGUCUCAUUGGCAAUCAUACAUCAUCUUCUUUUUUUUAUUGAUUGCAUUUGAAUAAUAUUUUUUCAACUUAAACAACCAGGAUACAAAUCCAAUGAGUGUACAUUGACAAGCCUAUCAGACGGUGCCUCAUGUGCAGAGUCUGAUGAGACUUUGGCAUUGAUGAAAACUAGAACCUAAGCCCUGUGACAUGACUAGAUUCAGUUGUUCUCGACUCAUAUUUUUGAAAAGUAUUUCAAAAGAUAUAAAUAAAAUUCUGUUCUAUUGUUUUAAUUCAUUUUUGUUCCUUGAAUCAACUUAAAAUGCAAACAAGGUUAUUAUUAAGAUUUUUUUUGGACAAGUUACAAUUUCAUUCGGACAAGUAAGUUUUGGGUUGCACUUGUCCUACUGGACAAGUUGAAAAAAAAGUUAUUGUAGAGGCCUGACUCUGACAUAAUCAAUAAUAUAUUACAGUAAAUACAGCGAAAAAUAUCUUUAUAAGUAAAGAAUUGUGGCAUAAAAAUUAAAUACAUGGGAAAUGGCAAAGUUCGCAAAGUCUAGUCUGAUUAAUCAUUUUACAAAAAAAAAAAAAAAAAAAGUGCAAGCAAAGGGGGAUGGGGCGUACGCCCUCUAAUCCCCCCUCUGGAUCCACCGCUGAUUUAUCUCCUUAUGGAUACAGAUCGACAGGGCUUGCUCCAUCCAUUUUUAGCUCACCUGGCCCAAAGGGCCAAGUGAGCUUUUCUCAUCACUUGGCGUCCGUCGUCCGUCGUCGUCCGUUGUCGUUAACUUUUACAAAAAUCUUCUCCUCUGAAACUACUGGGCCAAAUUAAACAAAACUUGGCCACAAUCAUCAUUGGGGUAUCUAGUUUAAAAAAUGUGUCUGGUGACCCGGCCAACCAACCAAAAUGGCCGCAAUGGCUAAAAAUAGAACAUAGGGGUAAAAUGUAGAUUUUGGCUUAUAUCUCUGAAACCAAAGCAUUUAGAGCAAAACUGACAAGGGUAAAAUUGUUUAUCAGGUCAAGAUCUAUCGGCCCUGAAAUUUUCAGAUGAAUCUGACAACCUGUCGUUGGGUUGCUGCCCCUGAAUUGGUAAUUUUCAGGAAAUUUUGCCGUUUUUGAUUAUUAUCUUGAAUAUUAUUAUAGAUAGAGAUAAACUGUAAACAGCAAUAAUGUUCAGCAAAGUAAGAUCUACAAAUAAG